rnacentral:rRNA from 1 species
UGGGGAAUAUUGCACAAUGGGCGCAAGCCUGAUGCAGCCAUGCCGCGUGUGUGAAGAAGGCCUUCGGUUGUAAGCACUUUCAGCGAGGAGGAAGGUGGUGAGCUUAAUACGCUCAUCAAUUGACGUUACUCGCAGAAGAAGCACCGGCUAACUCCGUGCCAGCAGCCGCGGUAAUACGGAGGGUGCAAGCGUUAAUCGGAAUUACUGGGCGUAAAGCGCACGCAGGCGGUUUGUUAAGUCAGNUGUGAAAUCCCCGGGGCUCAACCUGGGAACUGCAUUUGAAACUGGCAAGCUAGGAGUCUCGUAGAGGGGGGUAGAAUUCCAGGUGUAGCGGUGAAAUGCGUAGAGAUCUGGAGGAAUACCGGUGGCGGAAGGCGCCCCCCUGGACGAAGACUGACGCUCAGGUGCGAAAGCGUGGGGCAGCAAACAGGAUUAGAUACCCUGGUAGUCCAG